rnacentral:rRNA from 1 species
AUGUGUGGACAUAAUAAUGAAACGUUGUUCCACUCGUUAAUGGAGUGUGAACAUGCAAGACGUUUUUGGGAGUCAGCUGAACGAUUUUUUGGUAUAGAUAUACCAAGACUACACCCUGAGACUUGGGCCCGAGAUCUAUUAGAUCAUCGGUUUUACAAAAAGGAAGUGGCAGCUAUUAUGAUCACCGUGAUGUGGGCUGUGUGGCAUUCCAGGAACAAUUAUACUCAUGGUGAGUUGGUGUACCAGCCGAUCAAAUCAAUGGUGAUCAUUGAAGAGAUUAUCAGGGCGCUUGAGAUACCUGAGAGGCAGAAGACCAAAAUUACUGCCCGUCCGAGGUGGCUACCGCCGGAUGAGGGAUGGAUAAAAAUCAAUACCGAUGGUGCGACGGAUAUGGGGCAAAUGCGUGGAGGAGCAGGCUUUAUUGCUCGAGAUCAUAAUGGAGUUUUUGUUAGAGCGGGAGGUACAAGAUAUGACGGGGUUCUUGAUCCAUUAUCCAUUGAGGUACUUGCAUGCAGAGAUGCGAUCAAUAUGGUGCUAGAUAUGGGCUUGCAGCAAGUAGUUUUGGAAACGGAUUGUCAAGAGAUCCAGCGGUUGUGGGAGCUACCUCAGAAGUCGUCGUGUUUUCACUUGAUCAUGGAGAUGAAGAAUCUAUCUUCUUUUUUUCAGGGAUUCGAGCUACGGUUUGCAGGCCGCCAGUCUAAUAUGGUGGCACACCGUCUAGCUAGGCAUUCGUUACAACUUUCUGUUUCUGUGAUUAUGUAUGAUACAAUCCCUGGGUGGCUGACUGAUUGUUUGCAGUCAGACAUGCUGGCGCCUAAUGAAUAA